CCGAUCCCCUACUGUGCCGUUUCCUCGCCCGAGCCUACCUCCGUGCGCCACUCUUCUUCCCCCGCCGAACCCGAGCCCUAAUUGCUCCUUGCCGGUUUCUUUUCUUCUUCCCGAGCCCGAUCCUUCUUCCUCUCCCGCGUGGCCGCGAGCCCUACCCGACGGUGGUUCCCCCAUCUCUCCUCGCGAUUUAACCUUCGGCCAAGUCUCUCCCAACCUUCUUCUUCUCUUCUCUUGCGUGCCGACGCCGCCUUUCUUUCUUCUUCCCUGCCCAAACGCCGGUGACGCGUGAGCCCCGCCGGCCGAGUCUUUUCCUCUCUUCCGGCAGCGUAUCGUCGAAUUUCCUUGUGCCCUAGUUUGGGUGUACAGCCGCCGCUGCACCUCUACACAGUGUCGCCGUCGUUUGCCCUAGUGCCGGCUAGCCGAACCUUAGAGCGUUGCUGGCUCACCGUGCCCUAGUUUUCCGACGACAAUUGUUUCCUCUCUGCCGCAUCUCUGCACAGUGCAGCCGCCCCUUUCCGAUUUCCUUUGUGCUAGCCACCGAGAUUUCCCUCUGUGCUGCCACCACCUUCUCUGACUGUAGACCAGUGUUGAGCUUUAUGCUUGAUAGUUUGAUUGUGCGAAGCUGUGCCCUAGCCGGAUCUUGGAGAGGCGUGGAUUGUUGAGGAAAUCGAGUGGUGGAGUCUUCUUCCGGCAGCAACCCCUUAUGUUGAGGAAUCAAUGGAAAGUGGACUGUUGAUUUCCUCUAGACCUUACGGGAGGAAGACUCCAGCAGGGAAGCUUGUUUCCAGUGGUGUUGUCUUGGUUCCGGCAACACUUCUUUGGCUGCGGAUCAAUAGCAGAGAUCUAUGAUUGAGGACUGUGACGCGAGAUGAGCAACUCGACGUUUGAUUUGGAUCGGAUACGACCCUUCCUAUUGGAGGCGGG